rnacentral:rRNA from 1 species
CAGUCGCCACGGUAAUACGAAGGGUGCAAGCGUUAAUCGGAAUUACUGGGCGUAAAGCGCGCGUAGGUGGUUUGUUAAGUUGGACGUGAAAUCCCCGGGCUCAACCUGGGAACUGCAUCCAAAACUGGCAGGCUAGAGUAGGGCAGAGGGUGGUGGAAUUUCCUGUGUAGCGGUGAAAUGCGUAGAUAUAGGAAGGAACACCAGUGGCGAAGGCGACCACCUGGGCUCAUACUGACACUGAGGUGCGAAAGCGUGGGGAGCAAACAGGAUUAGAUACCCCGGUAGUCCCUGUCUCUUAUAC